UACAGAGGGGGCAAGCGUUGUUCGGAAUUACUGGGCGUAAAGGGCUCGUAGGCGGCCAACUAAGUCAGACGUGAAAUCCCCAGGCUCAACCUGGGAACUGCGUCUGAUACUGGAUGGCUUGAAUCCGGGAGAGGGAUGCAGAAUUCCAGGUGUAGCGGUGAAAUGCGCAGAUAUCGGGAGGAACACCAGUGGCGAAGGCGGCACUCUGGGCCGGUACUGACGCUGAGGAGCGAAAGCGUGGGGAGCGAACAGG
rnacentral:rRNA from 1 species